UUCUUCCGUUUGCUGAGAUGGCUUUUAACGGGGCCGUACAUUCGGCCACAGGUCGUGCCCCAUUCGAAAUAGUAUACGGACAGGAGGUGGCACCUUUCCCCAGGCUACCCGAGUGGAAGGAAGGAGAGGGCCAGACCGACAAGGAAUGGCCGGCCAAAAUUAAGCAAGGGUGGCAGACCGUGGUGGAGGCAUUGAGGGAAACACAAAAGAAGUACAAGCUCUUUGCAGAUCGCAGGCGCCGAGAGGGGGACAAAUUGGGCGAAGGAGAUCUGGUUUGGCUGAGCACAAAAAACCUGAAAUUGGGGUUCCCAUCUAAGAAAUUGGCUCCACGCUAUAUAGGGCCGUUCAGGGUAGCGAAAAGAAUAAACGAAGUGACCUAUGAGCUGAAGCUACCCAAGGACCUAGGGAAGGUACACCCGGUAUUCCAUUGCAGCCUGUUAAAAAAAUAUUUUAUUUGUCCAUUUCUUGCACUUGAAGUACUCUUCAAUGACAUCUUUAGCCUGAGAUUCUUUGCCAUAGUCUUUCACAACCACACAACUGCAGCCCACAACUUUGCGGGGUUUUGCUUCUCUGUCAAUGGGAUGGGAUGAAUGUUGUAAUAUGAACAAGCUUUUCCAAUAAAAUAUUGGAAUUCUUGAAUGUGAUCACUCUCAUUCUGAAAAACAGAUCCCCUUUCCAGGAUGGCUCCAUAGUUCCAAUCCUUGAAGUCCUAUUUCUCUCCCUGCUCUUGCUCCCCAAGGAACUGUGGGUUGGGUACUUGGACUUCAGGGCAAUCCCUUAUAUGUGGACCUGUCACUGUGUUGUUGUGUUGGGCUCACUGUGGUAUGACCAGCUUCUCCAGCAAGCCUAAUAAGAGAUGGGGAUAAAACAAAGAAGUGGAAGUUUAUUAAAAUUCAUACAAAUAAUAUCUACGAACCAUUGAAUCCUCAAUUAGCUCUUGAACCCCUAAAUCUCUAAAACUAUCGUAAACUCUGUUCUGCCUCUAUUCCAAAUUUUCCCUAGUUAGAUAUGUAAGUAGGCAGAUAGAGAGAUAGAUGAUACAUUUGUUCCAUGGGAAGAGCACAGGAAUCUUCCCACAAGUGGUCAUUGUGCCUCAGCAGUAUCAUGGCCUGGGAAUGAUGAGAGUUGUAGUCUUUUAAAUCCAGAUGGCCCACAAUUGGGACAGGCUGCUUUAAAGAAAGGUAUAAUAGUCUAAGCAUCUUCUUUGCAAGAGUUAUGUGAUUUUGUUGAGGGGCAAAAUAGAUCUAAGCCCUUUAGGGUUUUGUCACAUGGGAAUCUAUAAGGCUUAACAAAUUCCUUCUUGUCAAUUUCUUUGCAAUCUUCAGAGAGAAAGUGCCACCUUUUUUACCUCCCCUUAAAUAUGUUUUAGCUGUGGAACAGAUUGAGAAGGUCUGCAAUUAGGUGUGCACAGGUGGCAUUAUCUUCUGCAGAGUCUUUAUUUCAAGCUGAGGCCAAGCAGCUGUGAUGUUGCACAUACACAUAUUUACAUAGAAGAAUAUAAACAAGGCUUAGCAAGAGGGCAUUUUGCAGAGUUUGGGAAAGUUACUUUUCAGACUCUGAAUUUUAGAAUCCCCAGCUAGAUCAAAACAAAAGGAAUUGCAACCCAAACAAACCCACAUAUUUAAAAUCCAGUUAAAAACCCAUGAAUAAAAAAAACCCCACCAACACCCAAACAGAUAGUGCUCCACUCUUACCAGCUAGCUUAGAGGACAGUGGUCUUACUGGAUAGAAGUGCCUUUAAGUGUUGGCAGAAGGACAAAAAAAUGGAAUCACAUCUUCUAGGAGAGCAAUGGUUCUCAACCUGUGGGUUCCCAGAUGUUUUACCCUUCAACUCCUAGAAAUCCUAACACCUGGUAAACUAGCUGGGAUUUCUGGGAGUUGUAGGCCAAAACACCAAGGGACCCACAGGUUGAGAACCACUGCAGUAGAAAAUCCCAAAGCUUUGUGUAGUGAUUUGAGCAUUGGACUACAGGUCUGGAGACCAGGAUUUGAUUUCCCAUUUGGCCU
ensembl:lncRNA